rnacentral:rRNA from 1 species
GUCUACAGCCAUGCUACCCUGAACGAGCCUGAUCCUGUCUGGUCUCACGAGCUAAGCAGGGGCAGGCCUGGUUAGUACUUGGAUGGGAGACAACCUAGGAAGACCAGGUGCUGUAGGCA